rnacentral:rRNA from 1 species
GACGAACGCUGGCGGCGUGCUUAACACAUGCAAGUCGAACGGUGACGCACCUUCGGGUGCUGAUCAGUGGCGAACGGGUGAGUAACACGUGGGCAACCUGCCCCUAGCUCUGGGAUAACUCCUCGAAAGAGGUGCUAAUACCGGAUACCACCUCCCUCGGCAUCUCGGGAGGUUGAAAGUUUUUCGGCUAGGGAUGGGCCCGCGGCCUAUCAGCUUGUUGGUGGGGUAAUGGCCCACCAAGGCGACGACGGGUAGCCGGCCUGAGAGGGCGACCGGCCACACUGGGACUGAGACACGGCCCAGACUCCUACGGGAGGCAGCAGUGGGGAAUAUUGCGCAAUGGGCGAAAGCCUGACGCAGCAACGCCGCGUGAGGGAUGACGGCCUUCGGGUUGUAAACCUCUUUCAGCGGGGACGAAGCGAAAGUGACUGUACCCGCAGAAGAAGCGCCGGCUAACUACGUGCCAGCAGCCGCAGUAA